UAGCUACGAAGCUCGUGCUGCUGAUGCGCAUUCAGCGCUUUGUCUCUUAUUACCUACGCCUUCCUCACUAGUGCUUUUCUGAAUCGAAGGAUCUGAUUGUUAGGGUUUGGUAUGGGGAGAGGAAAGAUCGUGAUAAGGAGGAUCGACAAUUCGACGAGUAGGCAAGUCACGUUCUCGAAACGAAGGAACGGUUUGCUGAAGAAGGCGAAGGAGCUUGCGAUCUUGUGCGAUGCUGAAGUCGGAGUUAUGAUUUUCUCCAGCACCGGAAAACUCUACGAUUUCGCCAGCUCCAGG
rnacentral:sRNA from 1 species